rnacentral:rRNA from 1 species
UACGUAGGGGCCAAGCGUUGUCCGGAUUUAUUGGGCGUAAAGAGCUCGUAGGCGGUUCGGCAAGUCAGCUGUGAAAUCUCCACGCUCAACGUGGAGGGGUCAGCUGAUACUGCUGUGACUCGAGUCCGGUAGGGGAGUGUGGAAUUCCCGGUGUAGCGGUGAAAUGCGCAGAUAUCGGGAGGAACACCAGUGGCGAAGGCGGCUUCCUGGUCCAACACUGACACUGAGGUGCGAAAGCGUGGGGAGCAAACAGG